GUAUAGGGGGUGAAUUCUGCCCAAUGGUUGUAUAGUGAAACCGAGGAUUAACGUCCGAGGCUAAGCCCAAUUGAAUGGCCGCGGUAUACCUGACCGUGAUAAUGUAGCACAAUAAAUAGCCAAUUAAUUGUUGGCGGGUAUGAAUGGAAUCACGAGGGUCUUACUGUCUCAAGAGGAAAGCCGAUGAAAUUAUAGUUGUAGUGAAGAUACUACAUAAACAUUGUAAGACGAAAAGACCCUAUCGAGCUUUACUGGACACCGACAGUGUUAGUGUAAGAAGGACGCUAAUGGGUUCCCUCCCAUAUUUGGGCCCCCACGGCUCUCUUUUUGCGCUUAACUAUUAGUCGGUCGGACAGUUUAGUUGGGGCGACUACCUUUGAAUAAGAAACGAAGGCGAGCUUAUGGUGUACUGCUAAUCUCAUUAGCCUGACAGUGAGGGGGACACCCCUAGCUGGCACCCCUGCGGGGCUCCAAAAGGCACCCCUGCGGGGCUCCAAAAGGCACCCCCUUAGGGAGUGGGCGAUAAUGACCCGAUACUUGUACUCCAAAGGCAGUAUCGAAAGCGGAUAAAAGCUACCGUAGGGAUAACAGCGUAAUAUCAUUGGAGAGUUCUUAUCGAGGAUGGUGUUUGCGACCUCGAUGUUGAAUUGCGGUGCCCUGGUGCUGUAGGAGGUACCUUGGGUUGGUC
rnacentral:rRNA from 1 species